AAGCGGGAACAGCUCAAGCUUGAAAUCUGAAGGCGCUUGCGUCUUCAGAAUUGUAGUUGAGAGAAGUGUUUUCACCGGGAUGAGCGAUGGCCUAAGUUGCUUGGAACAGCACGUCAUAGAGGGUGAGAAUCCCGUCUGUGGUUGGUUGCUCCCUCGGAACGAUGCACUUUCGAAGAGUCGGGUUGUUUGGGAAUGCAGCCCAAAAUGGGUGGUAAACUCCAUCUAAAGCUAAAUAUUGCCACGAGACCGAUAGCGAACAAGUACCGUGAGGGAAAGAUGAAAAGCACUUUGAAAAGAGAGUUAAAAGCACGUGAAACCGUUGAAAGGGAAACGCGCUCGGCUAGCAAUGCGCGCCUGUGGUUCAGCCGGCUAAUCUUGUGAGUUGGCGUGCGGCGGAUCCGAAUGGACCGCCCGCGUCAGCAUCGCAGGGCGAGCUGUGGUGCACUCCAUGGGCGUGCGCGUCAGCGUCGGUUCCAGACGAGCGAUGAGGUGCGUGGGGGAAGGUAGCUCGGUUCUUCGGAUCCGAGUGUUAAGACCCUGGUGCUGGGCUCGUCGUGGGACCGAGGAGAGAGAUGAUCGCUGCGGCACCUGCCUCUCGGGGCUAGCCAGCUGCCGUUAGAUUUGCGUCAGGCGUUGAGGACUGCACGCAGUGCUUGAUGUUGAGGCGUGGUCUAGUGGUGGUGUGGGUAUAGAGGUGCCUAGGACGCUGGCGUCCAAAUGGCCGUGCGCGACCCGUCUUGAAACACGGACCAAGGAGUCUAACAUGUGCGCGAGUCUUAGGGUGUACAAGCCCUCGGGCGGAAUGAAAGUGAAGGUUCGGCGCUGGUCGAGCUGAGGUGAGAGCUGUAUGUGGAAUGAUUGCCACUGCGGCGCAUCAUCGGCCGGUCCAUCCUGCUCUCAGGAGGAUCCGAGCAAGAGCGUAUUUGUUGGGACCCGAAAGAUGGUGAACUAUGCCUGAAUAGGGUGAAGCCAGAGGAAACUCUGGUGGAGGCUCGUAGGGAUUCUAACGUGCAAAUUGAUCUCAAAAUUUGGGUAUAGGGGC
rnacentral:rRNA from 1 species